UACCAAUUUUUCGAAUAUUUU
rnacentral:piRNA from 1 species